rnacentral:rRNA from 1 species
ACUAGAGUAGCACUCGCAUAUCAAUAAGCGGAGGAAAAGAAACUAACAAGGAUUCCCCUAGUAACGGCGAGUGAAGCGGGAAGAGCUCAAAUUUGAAAUCUUAAAGGGUUUCCCUUUACGAAUUGUAGUUUAAAGAAGUGUUUUCUGUUGAGGUUUUGGUAAAAGUUCUUUGGAAUAGGACAUCAUAGAGGGUGAGAAUCCCGUAGUUGACCUUUACUUUCAACUUAGUGAUACACUUUCAAAGAGUCGGAUUGUUUGGGAAUGCAGUCCAAAAUGGGUGGUAAAUUUCAUCUAAAGCUAAAUAUUGGCGAGAGACCGAUAGCGAACAAGUACCGUGAGGGAAAGAUGAAAAGAACUUUGAAAAGAGAGUUAAACAGUACGCGAAAUUGUCAAAAGGGAAGCGUUUGACACCAGUGUUGUUUUUCUGAAAAUCAAUUAAAGAACUGUUUAUGCUAAGUUGUUUAGACUUUAUCAGCUAACUGUUUAGUUUUGAGCUUUUCUUUAAUGCACUUUUCAGUUAACAAGUCAACAUCAAUUUCUUUUGCUGUAAAAAAGCUUGAGGAAGGUGGCUUGAGAUUCGUCUUAAGUGUUUAUAGCCUCUUGCCUAUGCAGUCGGAGAGAUUGAGGUCUGCAGCGUAGAUCCUUCGGGGCUAAAUGCAUUUGUGCUAAGUUAUAGCAUUUUAUAGACAACUUGUUGACUAUGAUUUGUCUUGUAGCUUACUCGCUUAUGUUAUUUUACCUACGCUUAGGAUGUUGAGUAGCGACAUACGCAC